AGUGAACGCUGGCGGUAGGCCUAACACAUGCAAGUCGAACGGCAGCACAGUAAGAGCUUGCUCUUACGGGUGGCGAGUGGCGGACGGGUGAGGAAUACAUCGGAAUCUACUUUUUCGUGGGGGAUAACGUAGGGAAACUUACGCUAAUACCGCAUACGACCUACGGGUGAAAGCAGGGGAUCUUCGGACCUUGCGCGAUUGAAUGAGCCGAUGUCGGAUUAGCUAGUUGGCGGGGUAAAGGCCCACCAAGGCGACGAUCCGUAGCUGGUCUGAGAGGAUGAUCAGCCAGACUGGAACUGAGACACGGUCCAGACUCCUACGGGAGCCAGCAGUGGGGAAUAUUGGACACUGGGCGCAAGCCUGAUCCAGCCAUACCGCGGGAGUGAAGAAGGCCUUCGGGUUGUAAAGCCCUUUUGUUGGGAAAGAAAAGCAGCAGGUUAAUACCCCGCUGUUCUGACGGUACCCAAAGAAUAAGCACCGGCUAACUUCGUG
rnacentral:rRNA from 1 species